GAUUUAGAUACGUGUUAUAAUCUUGUUGGCUAAUAGUUCUCUUCCGGUGUUAAGCAGUUCACUAUGGAUACAAUUUGUCAAUUCAUAUCAGUGUCAAAUGCAAGAUGUUCACACGAGGUUGAUGAAACAAAAUUACUAGUCUAUUCCCCGGUGGUGGUUCUACUCUCUACUCUUCUCCAUGAUGGGUUUUGCCAUCUUGGUAUGUGAAAUAUUUAGUGAUCAACUUCAACUUCGCUAUUGGGGAGUUGUAUUAGCUUGUGCCUUGGUGUUCAUAUUUUUGCUUCCAGAAGGUGUCAUGAUGGCUACUACUAGUUCGGAAUUUUCAAUACAACUUUUAUUAGAGAUCAUAAUUGGGUACUUGCAGUCAGGUAAACCUAUUGCAAAUAUUGCAUUCACAACAUACGGCUCUACUGCAAUUAAUACGGCAAAAUAUUUUACUAUGGAUAUGAAGAGAGCAUAUUACAUGAAGAUUCCCCCAAAAGUAAUGUUCUUCGUACAGGUAUUUUCUGGACCACUUUGUUACAUUAAGAUACAUCACAAUUUAUGUACCAUAUAUUGACAUAUUUUUGCAAAUCCAGAUUUUGAAUUUGCUAA